AAGCAGGAAGCAAAAGUUGCAAUCAGUUUCGACCUGAUCUUAGAUAAUAAAUUAUCCCCGCUUU
rnacentral:tRNA from 1 species